rnacentral:rRNA from 1 species
UGGGGAAUAUUGCACAAUGGGCGAAAGCCUGAUGCAGCGACGCCGCGUGAGGGAUGACGGCCUUCGGGUUGUAAACCUCUUUCAGUCGGGCAGAAGCGAAAGUGACGGUACCUGCAGAAGAAGCGCCGGCUAACUACGUGCCAGCAGCCGCGGUAAUACGCAGGGCGCAAGCGUUAUCCGGAAUUAUUGGGCGUAAAGAGCUCGUAGGCGGUUUGUCGCGUCUGCCGUGAAAGUCCGGGGCUCAACUCCGGAUCUGCGGUGGGUACGGGCAGACUAGAGUGAUGUAGGGGAGACUGGAAUUCCUGGUGUAGCGGUGAAAUGCGCAGAUAUCAGGAGGAACACCGAUGGCGAAGGCAGGUCUCUGGGCAUUAACUGACGCUGAGGAGCGAAAGCAUGGGGAGCGA